UAUAAAAAAGUUGAUGGAGGAUUGCGAGGCUCACAAAUAUUUGUUUUUCUGAAAAAUUUAGCUCAAAGACACCGGCGUGAAUGAAAAAAAAAAUAGAUUUGAAACCAUCCGGGAAGUAACUGUUACGGAUGGAAAACACACACUGGCUGUUUCUUCCUAAGGAUUGGGAACCUCGAACUGGCUCAAAUCUUACUGCUACGGUGCCUUGGCGAUUUUGCUUCGUUUUCGAUGAAAAAUUCCCAGUAAGGGAUGGAAGUUCAUACUGUUAUCAAAAAUUCAAGUGCAAUAUAUUGACAGGAUUUUCAUAGUUCCAGCUCAGGUUCUGCUGGAUUUGUGUGACACGGAAGCCUUUCUUCUAAAAGGUUUAGUGAACCCGCUCAGAGAGUAUCAGGACAACCCAUAAAGGGCAGUUCUCUCU